UUCGCAAUGCCCGAAAGGGUGACGAAGCGACGCCGCGUGUGAGAAGAAGGCCUUCGGGUUGUAAACCACUGUCGGGAGUUAAGAAAUGCAAGAAUGUUAAUAGCGUUUUUGCUUGACUAAGGCUCCGGAGGAAGCCACGGCUAACUCUGUGCCAGCAGCCGCGGUAAUACAGAGGCGGCAAGCGUUGUUCGGAAUUAUUGGGCGUAAAGAGCACGUAGGCGGCUAUAUAAGUCGGUUGUGAAAGCCUUCCGCUCAACGGGAGAACAGCAUCCGAUACUGUAUGGCUUGAGUGUGGGAGGGGAGAGCGGAACUUCUGGUGGAGCGGUGAAAUGCGUAGAUAUCAGAAGGAACGCCGGCGGCGAAAGCGGCUCUCUGGCCCAUAACUGACGCUGAGUGUGCGAAAGCUAGGGGAGCAAACGGGAUUAGAUACCCCGGUAGUCCUAGCCGUAAACGAUGGGCACUAAGUAGAGGGGUUUU
rnacentral:rRNA from 1 species